rnacentral:rRNA from 1 species
UGCCAGCCGCCGCGGUAAUACGGAGGGUCCAAGCGUUAAUCGGAAUUACUGGGCGUAAAGCGCGCGUAGGCGGCUUAGUCAGUCGGAUGUGAAAGCCCCGGGCUUAACCUGGGAAUUGCAUUCGAUACUGCUGAGCUAGAGUAUGGGAGAGGGAAGUGGAAUUUCAGGUGUAGCGGUGAAAUGCGUAGAUAUCUGAAGGAACACCAGUGGCGAAGGCGACUUCCUGGCCCAAAACUGACGCUCAUGUGCGAAAGUGUGGGUAGCGAGCAGGAUUAGAUA